ACUGCAUGUCUAGUACUCAGGGAUACGUAUCCUCUCCAAGUUUCUCUUAGUCUAACUGUAGAGAAAAGGCUUGCAUAUGUGGCGUAUGAAGACUGUGGAAACCCACACGUGUGGAACCUCUGAGAAGGUCUGGAAUUAGGGUUCAGAUGCCAUCUGUCUGUUACGUGCUUUGAAGGUGCCACUCCAUCUGUGGGAUUCAGUUUACUUAAACUGAAGACUGUUCUUCUGAGUUGAGUGAGGAGAGGCAUCAAUCACUAGAAAGUUCUUUGAUCUCCUGGAAGCAAAAAGCCCAGCGCGAGGUUAUUCUUGCCAUGGACUUCUAGAGGAGCUGACUGUCCUUUGGGAAGCUGCAAAUGAGCAUGAGAAUCUGUAAGCAGGGAAGAGAGGCUUUUUCAGAGUGAUCAGGAAUGAAGAAGCAGAGAUCAUGCAAGCUGUUGCCAUCCAAAAGGAGGCAUCUCAUGUCAUCUGCUCUGGGGAGUAUCUGACCUUGAGAAAAGAAGAGAGAAACUGCAGAGACCACGUCCGUGCCUGAGCGAUGGAUUGGAGUCUCUGGUUUUGGUACUACUGAAUUUAUCCUCAUCACGAUCGUCAUUGUCUUC